AUUGAACGCUGGCGGCGUGCUUAACACAUGCAAGUCGAACGGUAAGGCCCUUCGGGGUACACGAGUGGCGAACGGGUGAGUAACACGUGGGUGAUCUGCCCUGCACUUCGGGAUAAGCCUGGGAAACUGGGUCUAAUACCGGAUAGGACUCCGGACUGCAUGGUCUGGGGUGGAAAGCUUUUGCGGGGUGGGAUGGGCCCGCGGCCUAUCAGCUUGUUGGUGGGGUGAUGGCCUACCAAGGCGACGACGGGUAGCCGGCCUGAGAGGGUGACCGGCCACACUGGGACUGAGGUACGGCCCAGACUCCUACGGGAGGCAGCAGUGGGGAAUAUUGCACAAUGGGCGCAAGCCUGAUGCAGCGACGCCGCGUGAGGGAUGACGGCCUUCGGGUUGUAAACCUCUUUCAGCAUCGACGAAGCGAAAGUGACGGUAGGUGCAGAAGAAGGACCGGCCAACUACGUGCCAGCAGCCGCCGUAA
rnacentral:rRNA from 1 species